GAUGAGCGCUGGCGGUAUGCUUAACACAUGCGAGUCGAACGGACUCUUCGGAGUUAGUGGCGGACGGGUGAGUAACGCGUGAGAAUCUGGCUUUGGGUUCGGGACAACCACUGGAAACGGUGGCUAAUACCGGAUGUGCCGAGAGGUAAAAGAGAAAUUGCCUGAAGAUGAGCUCGCGUCUGAUUAGCUAGUUGGUGAGGUAAAGGCUCACCAAGGCAGCGAUCAGUAGCUGGUCUGAGAGGAUGACCAGCCACACUGGGACUGAGACACGGCCCAGACUCCUACGGGAGGCAGCAGUGGGGAAUUUUCCGCAAUGGGCGAAAGCCUGACGGAGCAAUACCGCGUGAGGGAAGAAGGCUCUUGGGUUGUAAACCUCUUUUCUUAGGGAAGAACAAAAUGACGGUACCUAAGGAAUCAGCAUCGGCUAACUCCGUG
rnacentral:rRNA from 1 species